GAUGAACGCUGGCGGCGUGCCUAAUACAUGCAAGUCGAGCGAACAGACGAGGAGCUUGCUCCUCUGACGUUAGCGGCGGACGGGUGAGUAACACGUGGAUAACCUACCUAUAAGACUGGGAUAACUUCGGGAAACCGGAGCUAAUACCGGAUAAUAUAUUGAACCGCAUGGUUCAAUAGUGAAAGACGGUUUUGCUGUCACUUAUAGAUGGAUCCGCGCCGCAUUGGCUAGUUGGUAAGGUAACGGCUUACCAAGGCAACGAUGCGUAGCCGACCUGAGAGGGUGAUCGGCCACACUGGAACUGAGACACGGUCCAGACUCCUACGGGAGGCAGCAGUAGGGACUCUUCCGCAAUGGGCGAAAGCUUGACGGAGCAACGCCGCGUGAGUGAUGAAGGUCUGCGGAUCGUAAAACUCUGUUAUUAGGGAAGAACAAAUGUGUAAGUAACUAUGCACGUCUUGACGGUACCUAAUCAGAAAGCCACGGCUAACUACGU
rnacentral:rRNA from 1 species